AGCACAGAUAAGACCCACAGUCAGGUUACACCCGAGGGAACACGCUCAGAUGUAGCUGGAAAAAUGCUUGUUUUGCCGUAAGACCGAUGGUGGAUGUUACUUCACGGGAUGAGAUGUCACAAAUGAUGGCUACUGAAAACACAGACGAGGACAAUGUGUCCCUCAAGAGCAACGGGCAGACGGCGAGCAACGGAGGCAUGCUGCAGACGAUCAGAAACAGCUUCCGCCGGGCGUCGGAGAAGAGCCCGCUGUCGUCCGGAAGCAAGGGGUCAAAGGUCACGCCCGGCAAUGAUUCGGGGUUGCGACUGCCUCUGUCACCCAGUCUGAGUGCUGGCUCUCCGGCGACGUCCCCUCGCAGGACCAUCGGAGGCCUUUUCCACAAAAAAGAGGAAAAAGAGGAAGAAGAGGAAGAAGAGGCUAACGGCGCUCCGCA
rnacentral:lncRNA from 1 species